AUGUCUCUGCUUCAGACCACAGACCACAGACAUGUCUCUGCUUCAGACCACAGACAUGUCUCUGCUUCAGACCACAGACAUGUAUCUCCUUCAGACCACAGACAUGUCUCUGCUUCAGACCACAGACCACAGACAUGUCUCUGCUUCAGACCACAGACCACAGACAUGUCUCUGCUUCAGACCACAGACCACAGACAUGUCUCUGCUUCAGACCACAGACCACAGACAUGUCUCUGCUUCAGACCACAGACAUGUCUCUGCUUCAGACCACAGACCACAGACAUGUCUCUGCUUCAGACCACAGACAUGUCUCUGCUUCAGACCACAGACCACAGACAUGUCUCUGCUUCAGACCACAGACAUGUAUCUCCUUCAGACCACAGACAUGUCUCUGCUUCAGGUGUCACAGACCACAGACAUGUCUCUGCUUCAGACCACAGACAUGUCUCUGCUUCAGACCACAGACAUGUCUCUGCUUCAGACCACAGACCACAGACAUGUCUCUGCUUCAGACCACAGACAUGUCUCUGCUUCAGGUGUCCCAGACCACAGACAUGGACAUGUCUCUGCUCCUCCACAGAAAUAUGAGUGAACAUGAGGAAAGUGCCUACUAGAGAGGAAAGGUCAACAGAUGACCUCUGCAUUUCUCUCUCUCUCUCUCUCUCUCUGUCUACCUGGGUGGACAGAUUAAAUAUAUAUAUUAUCAGUCCUCCGUAAACUCUCAAUCUCAAUCCGUCUCUCUCUCUCUCUCUCUCUCUCUCUCUCUCCCUCUUUCUCUCUCUCUUACCAGGUUGAAAGGCCUAGUAAAUAUAUAUAUAUACCUGCUCUCUCUCUCUCCCUCUCUCCCUCUCUCUCUUUCUCUCUCUCUUACCAGGUUGACAGGCCUAGUAAAUAUAUAUAUAUAUACCUGCUCUCUCUCUCUCCCUCUCUCUCUCUCUCUCUCUCUUACCAGGUUGACAGGCCUAGUAGCUAUAUAUACAGUAUAUAUACCUGCUCUCUCUCUCUCUCUCGCUCUCUCUCUUACCAGGGUUGACAGGCCUAGUAGAUAUAUAUAUAUACCUUCUCUCUCUCUCUCUCUGUCUGUCACUCUCUUUCUCCAUACAGAAACUGCUCUGCUGUGUUGUAGGUCUUGUGCCUGUGUUACGUUUGGUUGAGGUUAGUGUUUGCACUUGUGUACUCUAAUGGUUUGUGUGUGUCAGCCAAUCUAAUAAUAUUUGGCCUAGAAGACCAUCUGAUUUGCAUCUUUAUGCGACUUUUGAGACGUCCUUCUCUUCUGCCUGCUGGACGUUGUGAAGUCUUUAAGCGACUUUUGAGACGUCCUUCUCUUCUGCCUGCUGGACGUUGUGAGGUCUUUAAGCGACUUUUGAGACGUCCUUCUCUUCUGCCUGCUGGACGUUGCAGCUUGUGGAUAAUUUCUGCAUCCUGAUAUUCUUUUUUUCUUCUUCUGCGGUUGUUGGAUUGUUUUGGAUUUGGAUUGUCUCUCUUCCUUUCACUGUCUGUUUGGGGAAAUGAACAAAUGUAUACUAAAACUAUAAUGGCCAUGAAUAAAGAACACUCACUCUAAAGAGCUGUGGACUUC
ensembl:lncRNA